rnacentral:rRNA from 1 species
AGUGAACGCUGGCGGUAGGCCUAACACAUGCAAGUCGAACGGCAGCACAGUAAGAGCUUGCUCUUACGGGUGGCGAGUGGCGGACGGGUGAGGAAUACAUCGGAAUCUACUUUUUCGUGGGGGAUAACGUAGGGAAACUUACGCUAAUACCGCAUACGACCUACGGGUGAAAGCAGGGGAUCUUCGGACCUUGCGCGAUUGAAUGAGCCGAUGUCGGAUUAGCUAGUUGGCGGGGUAAAGGCCCACCAAGGCGACGAUCCGUAGCUGGUCUGAGAGGACGAUCAGCCACACUGGAACUGAGACACGGUCCAGACUCCUACGGGAGGCAGCAGUGGGGAAUAUUGGACAAAGGGCGCAAGCCUGAUCCAGCCAUACCGCGUGGGUGAAGAAGGCCUUCGGGUUGUAAAGCCCUUUUGUUGGGAAAGGAAAGCAGCAGGUUAAUACCCCGCUGUUCUGACGGUACCCAAAGAAUAAGCACCGGCUAACUUCGUG